GGGAGAAGCUGCGGGUCGGGUCCUCCGAAGGAAGUCUACCAGGCUGCUCAGCAGCAGAUCUCUCCCAGCGCAGAGGCUCCUCGGCUGGGUUAAAUCUCUCUGACUGAAGCCUCCCGGCAGCCUCUGGCUCUCUGCGGCAUCUCUGAGGGUGGGGGGGAACUCCAGCCGCCCCCCAGCUACGAUGCUUGGUCCGAUCCGGGGCUGCGAGCGAGCAAGCGAGCGUCUAUCUGCUCUCUGCUCCAGAGCGCCGGCUGAGACUGAGCGGACACCUGUUCACCGGAGAGCGCAUCGCAACGCACACGCUCAGCAGAGGGAGGGAGGAGUAAUGAUGUUUGAGAGGAGCACACACACACACACACAGACACACACUCUAAGAGCAGCAGUGUGUGAUGGAGGAGGGGCAGCAGUGUUUGAAAAGCCGGAGAACAAAAGGGGGAGAGGAGGGGAGGCAGCAGAGCGAGGAGGUGAGAGACGAGGUUUACUGCAGCUCACGGGAAUCAGCAGAAAAAUAAAAACGGGCGAAAUCAUCGUCAGGAAACAUGAACGUGAAACGAUCCUGCGAGCGAUCGUCAGUCAGACCCGUCAAUCCUGAGCGUCUCUGAUGACCUGCUCUCGGAAACAAGACCAGCUGAUGCGUCAGCCUCAACCACACCAACAGUUUAAAAUCCAGGUCUUAGAAUAUUUUAGAGCAGAUUAAAGAGAAUAAAAGUAAAAAUUCAAUUAACAUUUCAAUCAAACAAUAUUUCUGAGCAACACUCAGCAUUCUGCAGCGAGAGGAAUCUCUGUGUGCGAUUCCCGUGAGGGUCCUUCGCAGCGCAGCGCGGGGUUUGACUUCAGGAUGCUCCGAGGCGAGGGCGGCUCGACUGCAGCGACACGUUUCUACUCGUGUCAAAGGUCACGUGCUGGAUUUGAACCUGCGACGCUGGACUCCCAGGGGGCGCCACACUGGACCAUCUGCUCCACCUCCUCCUGUCCCAGCAGCGCUCUGCAUGUCCUUCACUACAUCCAUGAACCUCUGAGGUUUUCCACAGAAGUAAAUCUUUAAACGUGUGAACCGUCUCGCCACAGAGCGCCGCCGAGGUGACGUCACGAGCUCAAUCAGCUGAUCAGCAGAAAACAACUCCGACCAUUGGAGGGUCAAGGUGUAGGCUGCCGGGGGAUUCCCAUGAUGCACUGGGUGUUUCUUCUUCACUCACUAUGUGUUAACAGACCUCUCUGCAUUGAAUCAUACUUGUUAUUAAUCUCUGUCUC